rnacentral:rRNA from 1 species
AGGUUUCCGUAGGUGAACCUGCGGAAGGAUCAUUACCUAGAGUUGUAGGCUUUGCCUGCUAUCUCUUACCCAUGUCUUUUGAGUACCUUACGUUUCCUCGGUGGGUUCGCCCACCGAUUGGACAAACUUAAACCCUUUGCAGUUGAAAUCAGCGUCUGAAAAAACUUAAUAGUUACAACUUUCAACAACGGAUCUCUUGGUUCUGGCAUCGAUGAAGAACGCAGCGAAAUGCGAUAAGUAGUGUGAAUUGCAGAAUUCAGUGAAUCAUCGAAUCUUUGAACGCACAUUGCGCCCCUUGGUAUUCCAUGGGGCAUGCCUGUUCGAGCGUCAUUUGUACCUUCAAGCUCUGCUUGGUGUUGGGUGUUUGUCUCCUGUAGACUCGCCUUAAAACAAUUGGCAGCCGGCGUAUUGAUUUCGGAGCGCAGUACAUCUCGCGCUUUGCACUCAUAACGACGACAUCCAAAAGUACAUUUUUACACUCUUGACCUCGGAUCAGGUAGGGAUACCCGCUGAACUUAAGCAUAUCAAUAAGCGGAGGAAAAGAAACCAACAGGGAUUGCCCUAGUAACGGCGAGUGAAGCGGCAACAGCUCAAAUUUGAAAUCUGGCGUCUUUGGCGUCCGAGUUGUAAUUUGCAGAGGGCGCUUUGGCAUUGGCAGCGGUC